rnacentral:rRNA from 1 species
UACGGGGGGGGCAAGCGUUGUUCGGAAUUACUGGGCGUAAAGGGCUCGUAGGCGGCCAACUAAGUCAUACGUGAAAUCCCUCGGCUUAACCGGGGAACUGCGUCUGAUACUGGAUGGCUUGAGUUCGGGAGAGGGAUGCGGAAUUCCAGGUGUAGCGGUGAAAUGCGUAGAUAUCUGGAGGAACACCGGUGGCGAAGGCGGCAUCCUGGACCGAUACUGACGCUGAGGAGCGAAAGCCAGGGAGCAACGGG